rnacentral:rRNA from 1 species
GACAAACGCUGGCGGCGUGCCUAAAACAUGCAAGUCGUACGGUCCUUCGGGACAGUGGCGGACGGCUGAGUAACACGUAGGUGACCUACCCUUGAGUGGGGAAUAACGCUCCGAAAGGAGCGCUAAUACCGCAUACGACCACCGCAUCUCGGUGCGGUGAGGAAAGCAGCAAUGUGCUCGAGGCUGGGCCUGCGUCCGAUUAGCUAGUUGGUGAGGUAACGGCCCACCAAGGCGACGAUCGGUAGCUGGUCUAAGAGGAUGAUCAGCCAGACUGGGACUGUGACACGGCCCAGACUCCUACGGGUGGCUG